AUUGAACGCUGGCGGCAGGCCUAACACAUGCAAGUCGAGCGGAUGAAGGGAGCUUGCUCCUGGAUUCAGCGGCGGACGGGUGAGUAAUGCCUAGGAAUCUGCCUGGUAGUGGGGGAUAACGUCCGGAAACGGGCGCUAAUACCGCAUACGUCCUGAGGGAGAAAGUGGGGGAUCUUCGGACCUUACGCUAUCAGAUGAGCCUAGGUCGGAUUAGCUAGUUGGUGGGGUAAAGGCCUACCAAGGCGACGAUCCGUAACUGGUCUGAGAGGAUGAUCAGUCACACUGGAACUAAGACACGGUCCAGACUCCUACGGGAGGCAGCAGUGGGGAAUAUUGGACAAUGGGCGAAAGCCUGAUCCAGCCAUGCCGCGUGUGUGAAGAAGGUCUUCGGAUUGUAAAGCACUUUAAGUUGGGAGGAAGGGCAGUAAGUUAAUACCUUGCUGUUUUGACGUUACCAACAGAAUAAGCACCGGCUAACUUCGUG
rnacentral:rRNA from 1 species